rnacentral:rRNA from 1 species
AUACAGAGGGUGCAAGCGUUAAUCGGAAUUACUGGGCGUAAAGCGCGCGUAGGCGGUUUAAUCAGUCGGAUGUGAAAGCCCCGGGCUCAACCUGGGUACUGCAUUCGAUACUGUUAAGCUAGAGUAUGGUAGAGGGAAGUGGAAUUCCAGGUGUAGCGGUGAAAUGCGUAGAUAUCUGGAGGAACAUCAGUGGCGAAGGCGACUUCCUGGACCAAUACUGACGCUGAGGUGCGAAAGCGUGGGGAGCAAACAGGAUUAGAUACCCCAGUAGUCC